rnacentral:rRNA from 1 species
UACGGAGGGGGCGAGCGUUAUUCGGAAUUAUUGGGCGUAAAGGGCUCGUAGGCGGUUCGUCACGUCGGGAGUGAAAACUCGGAGCUUAACUCCGAGCCUGCUUCCGAUACGGGCAGACUAGAGGUAGGCAGGGGAGAGCGGAACUCCUGGUGUAGCGGUGGAAUGCGCAGAUAUCAGGAAGAACACCGGUGGCGAAGGCGGCUCUCUGGUCCAUUACUGACGCUGAGGUGCGAAAGCGUGGGGAGCAAACAGG